AACAUAGGAUUUUGUUUUAUUUAAAGAUUAAUUGUGUAUUUGGAACCAUUCAGAAAAUUUGGCAAUGCCUGUGUUAGCUUAAUUAAUUAGUGAAUCAAAAGUAUUGUGUUAUAAAAUCUAAUUGAUGUCAUCAGCAAAGAGAAUGAGAAGUACAGUAGAAGACAAAGCAGUAAGGUUAUUGAUAUAGAUUAGAAUGGAUUGGUAGAAGACACGGUAACAAGGUUAUUGAUAUAGAUUAGAAUGGAUUGGUAGAAGACACAGCAACAAGGUUAUUGAUAUAGAUUAGAAUGGAUUGGUAGAAGACACAGCAACAAGGUUAUUGAUAUAGAUUAGUAUGGAAUGGUAGAAGACACAGCAACAAGGUUAUUGAUAUAGAUUAGUAUGGUAGAAGACCCAGCAGUAAGGUUAUUGAUAUAGAUUAGUAUGGAUUGGUAGAAGACAGCAACAAGGAUAUAGAUUAGUAUGGAAUGGUAGAAGACACAGUAACAAGGUAUUGAUAUAGAUUUGUAUGUUAUGGUAGAAGACACAGCAACAAGGUUAUUGAUAUAGAUUAGUAUGGUAGAAGACACAGUAACAAGGUUAUUGUUAUAGAUUAGUAUGGUAGAAGACUCAGCAGUAAGGUUAUUGAUAUAGAUUAGUAUGGUAGAAGACUCAGCAGUAAGGUUAUUGAUAUAGAGUUGAAGUCUGAAGUUUACAUACACUUAGGUUGUAGUCAUUAAAACUCAUUUUUCAACCACUCCACACAUUUCUUGUUAACAAACUAUGGUUUUGGCAAGUCGGUUAGAUCUACUUUGUGCGUGACACAGGUCAAUUUUCCAACAAUUGAUUACAGACAGAUUAUUUCACUUAUAAUUCACUGUAUCACAAUUCCAGUGGGUCAGAAGUUAACAUACACUAAGUUGACUGCCUUAAACAGCUUGUAAAAUUCCAGAAAAUGAUGUCAUGGCUUCAGAAGCUUCUGAUGGGCUAAUUGACAUAAUUUGAGUCAAUUGGAGGUGUACCUGUGGAUAUAUUUCAAGGCCUACCUUCAAACUCAGUGCCUCUUUGCUUGACAUUGGAAAAUCAACAGAAAUCAGACAAGACCUCAGAAAAAUAUUUGAGACCUUCAAAAGCCUGGUUCGUCCUUGGGAGAAAUUUCCAAACGCCUGAAGGUACCACGUUCAUCUGUACAAACAAUAGUACGCAAGUAUAAACACCAUGGGACCACGCUCCAAAACCGCCGUAAAAUAGCCAGAUUACGGUUUGCAACUGCACAUGGGGACAAAGAUGGUUCUUUUUAGAGAAAUGUCCUCUGGUCUGAUGAAACAAAAAUAGAACUGUUUGGCCAUAAUGACCAUCGUUAUGUUUGG
ensembl:lncRNA